AACAGGAGGAGCGAGUGCAGCAGGUGAGGAAGAGGCUGGAGGAGGCGCUGAUGGCCGAAGGAUUUUCCAGGAAUUUCGAGUGCGGAAAAAUUCCGGAAUUUUCCCGGAAAAACGACCAGGAGGCGUGAAAAAUAAAAGGUCCAGGAAAAGCGAAGCAAAAAAACGGCUGCAAAAUUCUCCAUUUUUGGCACUUUUUGACCCAUUUCGGGCAUUUUUUGGCCCGAAAUUUUGGAAUUCUAAAAAUUCCAUUUUUUUUAACCAAAAAAA